rnacentral:rRNA from 1 species
GACGAACGCUGGCGGCGUGCUUAACACAUGCAAGUCGAGCGGUAAGGCCCUUCGGGGUACACGAGUGGCGAACGGGUGAGUAACACGUGGGUGAUCUGCCCUGCACUUCGGGAUAAGCCUGGGAAACUGGGUCUAAUACCGGAUAGGACCACUGCCUGCAUGGGUGGUGGUGGAAAGCUUUUGCGGUGUGGGAUGGGGCCGCGGCCUAUCGGCUUGUUGGUGGGGUGGUGGCCUACCAAGGCGACGACGGGUAGCCGGCCUGAGAGGGUGACCGGCCACACUGGGACUGAGAUACGGCCCAGACUCCUACGGGAGGCAGCAGUGGGGAAUAUUGCACAAUGGGCGCAAGCCUGAUGCAGCGACGCCGCGUGAGGGAUGACGGCCUUCGGGUUGUAAACCUCUUUCAGCACCGACGAAGCGCAAGUGACGGUAGGUGCAGAAGAAGGACCGGCCAACUACGUGCCAGCCGCCGCCGUAA